rnacentral:rRNA from 1 species
CUCAGUUCGGAUUGGAGUCUGNAACCCGACUCCAUGAAGCUGGAUUCGCUAGUAAUCGCGCAUCAGCCACGGCGCGGUGAAUACGUUCCCGGGCCUUGUACACACCGCCCGUCAAGCCAUGGAAGCCGGGAGUGCCUGAAGUGCGUGAGCGCAAGCAGCGCCCUAAGGUAAAACCGGUGACUGGGGCUAAGUCGUAACAAGGUAAC